CCCCAGUCCUUGGCAAUGAUAAGUUUAUAUCCUGAAUCAAUUGUAUUAUUUAAUGUCACUUCCUCAUCAUAAUUGGAUUGUCAAUUCAGCAGGAAAAAUGAGUUCAUCAAAGGUGCUUCAGGGCGCAUGUGAAGUGGAGCUGGAGAGACAGCAGUCCCUAGAAAAAGAGUGGAGUUGGAAAGACUGCAUCUACUGACUGCUUGGCACCUAAAGAGCCAUGCAUACCAGUCAAACUGUCUUAGGUGGCAGAUGCUGGGGAGAAAUUGCGUCUGCUGCUACCUCUGGUCUUCACAUCCUCUAAGGAAACAACAUUUCAGUCUUCUGUGCUGUUAGUCCACAAAGCAGAUGAAGGCUUUUUCCAUGAAAAUGUUUGGGAAAAAUGGAAUCUCAUAAGAUCUACUUUAUGUGUAUUAACAAAUAUUACAUGUUGGUGUGUAAUAAAACUUGAAACUACAAUAUUAAAUAUUAUAUCACUAAGAAAGUCAGAGUUGUGUUAGGCAACCACACAUACACACACACAGAGCCCUGACUGGAAUCCACACCACAAGAAAGUUUAAAACAUUUACCUAGGAAUCAUAGAGAA